GGGAAGGUAGCUCAGUAGAGUGCAUGCCUUGCAAGCAUGAGGCCCUGGGUUCAAUUCCUCAGCACCA
rfam:Dipodomys ordii contig_53327, whole genome shotgun sequence.